UCGCUUCUCGGCCUUUUGGCUAAGAUCAAGUGUAGUAGCAUAUGUUCUCA
rnacentral:snRNA from 1 species